rnacentral:rRNA from 1 species
CAGCAGCCACGGUAAUACGAAGGGGGCUAGCGUUGCUCGGAAUGACUGGGCGUAAAGGGCGCGUAGGCGGAUGGUACAGUCAGAUGUGAAAUUCCUGGGCUUAACCUGGGGGCUGCAUUUGAUACGUAUUUUCUAGAGUGAGGAAGAGGGUCGUGGAAUUCCCAGUGUAGAGGUGAAAUGCGUAGAGAUCGGGAGGAACAUCAGUGGCGAAGGCGGCCAUCUGGGACAACACUGACGCUGAGGCACGAAAGCGUGGGGAGCAAAUAGGAUUAGAGACCCCUGUAGUCCCUGUCUCUUAUAA